rnacentral:rRNA from 1 species
UAGUAACGGCGAGUGAAGCGGGAAGAGCACAAAUUUAAAAUCUACCUGGUUUCCAGGUCGAGUUGUAAUUUGAAGAUACGUUUUUGAUGUUCCUGGUUGGACUAAAUCCUUUGGGAUAAGGUAUCAUAGAGGGUGAGAAUCCCGUGUAUACCAACCRYAGGGAUGUUAUUUAAUACGUUUCUAAGAGUCGAGUUGUUUGGGAAUGCAGCUCUAAAUGGGUGGUAAAUUUCACCUAAUGCUAAAUAUAAGCGAGAGACCGAUAGCGAACAAGUACAGUGAUGGAAAGAUGAAAAGAACUUUGAAAAGAGAGUUAAAUAGUAYGUGAAAUUGUUGAAAGGGAAACGAUUGAAGUCAGUCAUGCCGRYGGGAAUCAACUUAGRGGAAACUCUGGGUGCACUUCUUCGYUUGGCAGGUYARYGUCGAUUUUGRAUGUCAUAAAAUAAUUGGGGGAAGGUAGCUCYUUCGGGAGUGUUAUAGCCCUUGRUAGAUGUGAUGUYUGGGRUCGAGGAUUGCAACGGAUACCCUUYGGGGCUARCCGCCUGAUCUCUAAUYGGUGUUGGGUUACGGAYAGCAUGCUGACCGUGAUCUAAUUACUGGUUAAAAGGUUAGAGCGUGYAUAAAUUCG